GGAAGGCAGAGACGUGACAGCGUUUGGAAGGGUAGAGACGUGACAGCGUUUGGAAGGGUAGAGACGUGACAGCGUUUGGAAGGGUAGAGGGGUGACAGCGUUUGGAAGGGUAGAGGGGUGACAGCGUUUGGAAGGGUAGAGGGGUGACAGCGUUUGGAAGGGUAGAGGGGUGACAGCGUUUGGAAGGGUAGAGGGGUGACAGCGUUUGGAAGGGUAGAGGGGUGACAGCGUUUGGAAGGGUAGAGAGGUGACAGCGUUUGGAAGGGGAGAGACGUGACAGCGUUUGGAAGGGUAGAGACG